UACGUAGGGUGCAAGCGUUAUCCGGAUUUACUGGGUUUAAAGGGUGCGUAGGCGGAUUGGUAAGUCGGAAAUAAAAUCUUGGUGCUUAACAUCAAAACUGUUUUCGAUACUGCUAGUCUUGAGUUAAGAAUAGGUAAGUAGAAUUUAUGGUGUAGCGGUGAAAUGCUUAGAUAUCAUAAGGAAUUUCAAUAGCGUAGGCAACUUACUAGUCUUUUACUGACGCUGAAGCACGAAAGGCGGGGAGCAAACAGG
rnacentral:rRNA from 1 species